GUCUCCGCGGCGUUUUUGCAAAAAAAAACCUCCCCAGACUCCCGACAUAACCCGCACUACUCGUCUUCUCAAGUCGACACUCCGCCGCUCCGACAUAGGCGCAUGGACGCCGGAGCUGCCCUGCGCCGCGCGUCCUCCGCCGCCGCUGCAGCUGCCUCUUCUGCUGCUCCCUUCUGCCUCACGCAGAAUCCCUGCCUCCCGAAUCUCUCCUCUUUCUCCCCAAAAAUCGUUUCUUCUUCCUCCCGCCGCAUCUCCUGCUCGCGCCCACCCCCUCCCUCCUAGCGUUGAUGGAAGAAGCGUGGCCGGCCCUCGGCCCGGCGGUCGGCGACGCGGCCCUCCGCCCCCGCCUCCCCCCGGCACCUGUGGCGUGGGGCGUGGCCGUGAUGGCGCGGCGGGAGACGGUGCCUAAGGAGUCGUCCGCGCAGGCGGUGAGCCGGAUCGUGUCCAGCUGCGCCAACUCGACCGGCCUGGCACCCGUCCUCCCGUCGUCGACGCCAACGCCGUCAUCUCGCUCGCCUCCACCGCGGGCCUGCUGGUCACGAUGCCAGAGGUGCUCGAGGAGGUGCGCGACGCCGCAGCGCUCUGGAGGCUCGCGCUCCUGCCCACCCCCGUCGAGACCAUCGAGCAAGAGAGUAGGGCCAGCUCGAACCGUGUGCACCAGGAAGAAGGCUAGCUCGAACAUUGUUUGGUGAAGCAAGCAGCUGAGCUGGUUUUGUUCUUGUCGCCUUGGAUUGUGCAGCGAUUGGAGGAGGACUUGGUGCAGAGGAAUGGAGUGCGAGUACGGAUGCUGCUUCCGUUGAUCUCAGAAAUUGACAGGUUUUGGAAGAAAAUGACAGGUUCUGAACAUCAACUUGACUGGGUAAUAUAGUGCCAAUUCUGAUUGUUAACAGCAGAAUACAGUUAAUAGCAGUGUAAUGGAGUGAGAAAUCUUACUGUAAAUUCAGCUACUGUAGUUAUUGAAACUUCACUUUAAACUUCCAGUACACAAAAUUCAGUUAUCUUUUUAGUAGGAAAAUUUCUGUAACAAAUUUCAGAAGCUUGUAUUUUCACACAUAUUGUGCUCUAGCUGAUACAUCUGCGUGUUCUAGCAUUCUCCUUCCAAUGCAUACCGAUAUGAAACUUCUUCUUUGUUUAAUUUUUUGAGCUAUUGCUGCUGCUUAAUCAAACAAUGCAUACCGAUCUGCUGCUGCUUAUGUUUGGGACUUUGGGGUGCUGCAUCGAUGUGCAUCAAACAUGAUUAAGUUUUUUUCCAAAAUGCUUCAGACUGCUAGAUUCAGUUUCUAGUGAUAAUCCAAAAUGCUUCAGACUGCAUAAAAUGCUUCUUUUGCUGUGAUAAUCCAAAAUGCUUCUUUUGAGUACAGUAGCUGUCAAAUUUAGCCUAUCUCGAGCUUGGGCUUGAGAGCUUCUUUAGCAAGAUCACUGAAUGCAGUGUACUCCGCUGGAGCUUCUUUAGCCUAUCUUGAGCUUGAGCUUGGGAGCUAUCUUGAGCUUGCGAGUAUAUUUGUACGUUUGCUCACAAUGGUGUACCGAAAAUUGCAAGUUAUAUAGUGUAGUGUUUUGUAAAUUCAGACUAGAUUUGAGCAAGAUAAACUUUACUGUUAUGAUUGAUAAAGAAAACUUUAGUGUUAUUUAGAUUCAGAGCAAGUAAAGGAAAAUUUAAUAAAAUUUGUCACUGUCAAAACUGAAACAUGCAGGAUGUGGUAUUAAUGUAGUGUUAUGCAUUUCUUUAUCAAUCAUCCUGAUGCCGUCGUGUGGACAUGUGGUAGCACUGAAUAAUGAAUUUGUGUUAACACUGAAUUUGUGGACAUGUGGAUACUGAAUUUGUGUGGACAUGUGGUAGCAUUUUCUUUAUCAAUCAUUGGUUCAUGUAAGUACUAUAGACCUUCUACAUAUAAUCUGAACAUAUAGAAGCAUUUCUUUAUCAAUCAUUUUCUUCUCUAGAGGAGUAACCUUGCCUCAUCAAUGGUGAGAUAAACAGUGGUAUUGGAUAUUUUCAGUAGAAUCACUAAUGGAGAAAAUGGAUAGUGCAAAGGCCAAUAUGAUCUUCUUAUUUAACUAAUCAUCAAAACAUACCCUAGUUAGUCUUGAGGAAUCUGGUGGAAUCACAUUGCUUGUUUCCAAAAUAAAUUGAUUGAUUGUGCACUGAAAAUUGAUUGAUUUUUUUAGCAAAUUUAGAUAUGUUUAUUCCUAAUCUGUUAUUUUUUAACUUUGCAAAUAAUCUAUUUCAUUUAA